GGGGCAGACUGUCAGGUGGUGCAUGGUUGUAGUCAGAUUGCGUAGUGAGAUGUUGGGAUAAGUCUCGCAACGAGCGCAACCUUUGAUCUUAGUAGCCAGCAUUCAGUUGGGCAUUUUAAGGUGACUGCCGGUGACAAACCGGAGGAAGGUGGGGAUGACGUCAAAUCAUCAUGCCCCUUAUGACCUGGGCUACACACGUGCUACAAUGGGCAGAACAAAGGGCAGCGAAGCCGCGAGGCUAAGCCAAUCCCACAAAUCUGUUCUCAGUUCGGAUCGCAGUCUGCAACUCGACUGCGUGAAGCUGGAAUCGUUAGUAAUCGCGGAUCAGCAUGCCGCGGUGAAUACGUUCCCGGGCCUUGUACACACCGCCCGUCACACCACGAGAGUU
rnacentral:rRNA from 1 species